rnacentral:rRNA from 1 species
CACGCCGUAAACGAUGAGAACUAGGUGUUGCGGGUAUUGACCCCUGCAGUGCCGCAGCUAACGCAUUAAGUUCUCCGCCUGGGAANCAACGCGCAGAACCUUACCUGGGCUUGACAUCUGUGGAAUCUUCGUGAAAGCGAGGAGUGCCUUCGGGAGCCACAAGACAGGUGC